UUUCCGUAGGUGAACCUGCGGAGGGAUCAUUACCGAGUAAGGUCCUUCAGGACUUUCUUAUCCCAACCCCUGUGAAAAUUACUUUUUGCUGUCGGCAUUUAAUUAUUCCCAAACAUCAAAACAACUACCUUCUGUUUCGUUUGAAUGUAUAUCUCAAUCUCAACCCUUUCAAAAACGGUUCUCUUGGUUCUCGCCUCGGUGAAGAAUCCAGCAGAAAGGUAGAGCACCGGUCUCCACUACCUCCUCUCAACACUAUUCUUCCUGCCGGCUGCUGAGUGA
rnacentral:misc_RNA from 1 species